CAGGAUCCAGGCUCAGGCUUCAGGGAGCGAACACAGAAGCCAGCGAGGGGCCUAAGACGCCCAGCGUGGGUGAAGGCUGCCUGCGCCUCCGCGGCCUCCCUGCCUCCCUCCCCCUGCUCCUCCCCCUCCCGGAACCCGCCCCCACUCUCAGCCCUGAGCUGCUGAUGCCCUCGGGGUGCUGUUUUCAUUCCAGGCUGUGGAUCCGGUCGUGGGAAGCAGUCCCAGGUGCAGGGGCCUGCAGAGGUGAGACCUGACCGAGUGGAAGCGGUCUGUCUGUUGUGUGUUCGUGGCUACAGAGAAGCUCGUGGACCCCAGACUUCGAUGUGAGCCCCAAACUCUGAUCCCUGACUGCCUGUCCCCAUGGGACCAAGGGACUCUCAGGCCUGCCCACAAAGGUGGGCAUCACUGACUCAACAGACAUGAGUGUGAGCAGUCUCCAGGAGGUGGUAAAGGACAGGGAAGCCUGACGUGCUGCAGUCCAUGGGGUCGCAAAGAGGCAGACACGACUGAGCGACUGAAUGACAAUAUCCUAUUAUUCUGUUUCUGCCUAAAAUAAAUGAUAAAAGUAAGAGUGUGAACAAGACCACAACAGCAGCACACAUCUGCUUCCAUCAGAGCUUAGGGUGAGGCCCAGACAUGGCAAGCUGUGUUUUAGCCUGUUCCCCAUCACUUCUAGGAUCUGAACUGACUCC